GGUACUUCUCGCAGGAGAGAGUUUCUGAUGUAAACCUGCCCAAGCUUCGUCACCAAGCCCUUAAACGAUUAAAAUCAUUUAUAAGUGUGGCACUUCCUUCAAGUGUUGAUGAAGGAAGUAUUGCUCCUAUGACUGUCCUGGUUCAGAAGCUUCAAAAUGCUUUAUCAUCUGUAGAGCGUUUCCCUGUAGUUCUUAGCCAUUCAUCUAGGUCUUCUGGUGGGAGUGCACGCCUCUCUUCUGGAUUAAGUGCAUUGUCUCAGCCUUUUAAGUUGCGGCUUUGUCGAGCCCAAGGAGAGAAGUCUCUACGUGACUAUUCUUCAAAUAUUGUGAUGAUUGAUCCAUUAGCAAGUCUAGCAGCUGUUGAAGAAUUUCUUUGGCCACGAGUUCAACGUAGUGACAAUGCUCAAAAACCGUGUGUGUCUGUAGGAAAUUCUGACUCUGGGAACACUCCCAGUGGGGCUGUUGCUUCUUCUCCAUCUACCUCAACUCCUGCUUCGACCGCUCGUCGUCAUUCUUCAAGGUCCAGAUCAUCUGUUAAUAUUGGAGAUGUUGCCAGAAAGGAAUCAUCACAGGAGAAAAGCACAAGUUCGUCAAAGGGAAAAGGUAAGGCUGUUUUGAAGCCUGCUCAAGAGGAGUCAAGAGGGCCUCAAACAAGAAAUGCUGCUCGUAGAAGAGCUGUUCUGGAUAAAG
rnacentral:lncRNA from 1 species